AGGAGAUGCUUGAGAAGAACAUGAGGUGUGGUGUUACCUGUUUGACAAUUAUGAUGGCAUGCCUAUAUAUCAUGGUGGCAAGUAUAGACUUGAAUAAUGUCGGAAGGUCUCAGGAAAAAAGAGAGAAACAAAUGAAGACCUUGAUGGAUGCCAUGAUAAAUAUUCGACAACACUAGUGUUGAAAAAUUCCUUUUGCAGAAUGUUUCCUUAAUCUGAUUCUUGGCGAUAUGCAAAAAGUUUGUUGGCUAUUGAUAUAAAUGCGUCAUUGUCCUCUGUCAUUGUAUGUGUCUGUCUAUCUUACUAUAUGUGAUAGCAACUGUCUCUCUCCUCUUCCACAUUCAAGUUCUUUCUUUCUUCUGACUGUUUAGAGGAAUCAUAAUUUUUUCGAUAAUCUAUUUUAAACUUGGCAGGACAUGUGUUUCUUCUGAUUGUUUAAAUUUGGAAAAGUUAUCAAAGGAAGACUUGCUCUCUUAUCAGGUACUUGAGAACUCGUUUUCCUCUGUCCCUUUUUUAAUCUCCAGACCAUGUCAGUU
rnacentral:lncRNA from 1 species